rnacentral:misc_RNA from 1 species
GAUGAAGAACGUAGCGAAAUGCGAUACGUAAUGUGAAUUGCAAAUUCAGUGAAUCAUCGAGUCUUUGAACGCACAUUGCGCCCCCUGGUAUUCCGGGGGGCAUGCCUGUCCGAGCGUCAUUGCUGCCCUCAAGCACGGCUUGUGUGUUGGGCCCCGUCCUCCGAUCCCGGGGGACGGGCCCGAAAGGCAGGGGCGGCACCGCGUCCGGUCCUCGAGCGUAUGGGGCUUUGUCACCCGCUCUGUAGGCCCGGCCGGCGCUUGCCGAUCAACCCAAAUUUUUUAUCCAGGUUGACCUCGGAUCAGGUAGGGAUACCCGCUGAACUUAAGCAUAUCAAUAAGCGGAGGA